rnacentral:rRNA from 1 species
GACGAACGCUGGCGGCGUGCUUAACACAUGCAAGUCGAACGGAAAGGCCCUGCUUGCAGGGUACUCGAGUGGCGAACGGGUGAGUAACACGUGGGUGAUCUGCCCUGCACUUCGGGAUAAGCCUGGGAAACUGGGUCUAAUACCGGAUAGGAGCCAUUUUUAGUGUGAUGGUUGGAAAGUUUUUUCGGUGUAGGAUGAGCUCGCGGCCUAUCAGCUUGUUGGUGGGGUAAUGGCCUACCAAGGCGGCGACGGGUAGCCGGCCUGAGAGGGUGGACGGCCACAAUGGGACUUAGAUACGGCCCAGACUCCUACGGGAGGCAGCAGUGGGGAAUAUUGCACAAUGGGCGCAAGCCUUAUGCAGCGACGCCGCGUGGGGGAUGACGGCCUUCGGGUUGUAAACUCCUUUCGCUAGGGACGAAGCUUUUUGUGACGGUACCUAGAUAAGAAGCACCGGCUAACUACGUG